GCGGGAAUAGCUCAGCUGGUAGAGCACGACCUUGCCAAGGUCGGGGGCGCGAGUUCGAGUCUCGUUUCCCGCUCCA
rnacentral:tRNA from 1 species